UUCCAAAGCAUGACUCACUGAAGUAUUGGGGACUAAAAAGCAAUGGCAACAGUAGGCCCUACUCUGGGGCGAUAACGAGAUAAUGCAAGUUUAAUUAAGCAAAUUUAGGUGAUUUAAGCAAAAUCUGCAAUUUAAGCAAUGCGAGUUUGAGCGAUAUAGGGCAAUGUAAGAAAACAAUUAAAAUUUUAGGGAAUGCUGUUUUAGGUGUUUAGAGGGUAAUUUCAGGAAUUUACAACUAUAUCCCUGAUGACUCCAAUGAAAUUACCAUUAACCUACGCCAAGCAUCCAAACAUGAGUGUUCCCACAAACACACACACACAUGCAGUGUAUGAAGCAAAAUAUACAAUUUAACAAAAAAAGUUGAAGUCUGCUUGAGGGGGUUCUGGAAACAAACAAUACACUGUAUGGGCAUGACGAUCAAGUGUUUAAAGGGUAAAUAAGUUCAAUAUUCAUGACUUUUUCCAUCCAUUGUCUAUUUCGAAGCCAUUGGGGUAUUAUUAAAUCCAUGACACAACUAUAAUACAUGACCACAUGUUCACAUCAUAUGCAAUUGCAAACAAUUUUCAAAGGAGUAGGGUACAGAAUUGCAAUAUAACAACAUAUAAGUAAAUUAUACAUGUCAUGAACUUACCAG